rnacentral:rRNA from 1 species
AGUGAACGCUGGCGGUAGGCCUAACACAUGCAAGUCGAACGGCAGCACAGUAAGAGCUUGCUCUUACGGGUGGCGAGUGGCGGACGGGUGAGGAAUACAUCGGAAUCUACUUUUUCGUGGGGGAUAACGUAGGGAAACUUACGCUAAUACCGCAUACGACCUACGGGUGAAAGCAGGGGAUCUUCGGACCUUGCGCGAUUGAAUGAGCCGAUGUCGGAUUAGCUAGUUGGCGGGGUAAAGGCCCACCAAGGCGACGAUCCGUAGCUGGUCUGAGAGGAUGAUCGGCCACACUGGAACUGAGACACGGUCCAGACUCCUACGGGAGGCAGCAGUGUGGAAUAUUGGACAAUGGGCGCAAGCCUGAUCCAGCCAUACCGCGUGGGUGAAGAAGGCCUUCGGGUUGUAAAGCCCUUUUGUUGGGAAAGAAAAGCAGCAGGUUAAUACCCCGCUGUUCUGACGGUACCCAAAGAAUAAGCACCGGCUAACUUCGUG